GGGCAUAAACAUACUACCGAAGCUAUGGACUUGUAAAAGUGGUAGGGGAGCAUUGUAGUGUCGUCGAAGGUGAACUGCGAGGUUUGCUGGAGAAGCUACAAAAGAAAAUGUAGGCAUAAGUAACGAUAAUGCGGGCGAGAAACCCGCACACCGAAAGACUAAGGUUUCCUCAGCUAUGCUAAUCAGCUGAGGGUUAGUCGGGACCUAACGCGAACCCGAAAGGGGUAGUGGAUGGACAUAGGGUUAAUAUUCCCUAACUUGCU
rnacentral:rRNA from 1 species